rnacentral:rRNA from 1 species
AUUGAACGCUGGCGGCAUGCCUUACACAUGCAAGUCGAACGGCAGCACGGGAGCAAUCCUGGUGGCGAGUGGCGAACGGGUGAGUAAAGUAUCGGAACGUGCCCAGUCGUGGGGGAUAACGUAGCGAAAGUUACGCUAAUACCGCAUACGAUCUAUGGAUGAAAGCGGGGGAUCGCAAGACCUCGCGCGAUUGGAGCGGCCGAUAUCAGAUUAGGUAGUUGGUGGGGUAAAGGCUCACCAAGCCGACGAUCUGUAGCUGGUCUGAGAGGACGGCCAGCCACACUGGGACUGAGACACGGCCCAGACUCCUACGGGAGGCAGCAGUGGGGGAUUUAGGACAAUGGGCGAAAGCCUGAUCCAGCCAUGCCGCGUGCAGGAUGAAGGCCUUCGGGUUGUAAACUGCUUUUGUACGGAACGAAAAGGUUUGGCCUAAUAAGCUGAGCUCAUGACGGUACCGUAAGAAUAAGCACCGGCUAACUACGUGCCAGCCGCCGCCGUAA